CCUACGGGUGGCAGCAGUGAGGAAUAUUGGUCAAUGGGCGGAAGCCUGAACCAGCCAAGUCGCGUGAGGGAUUAAGGCCCUGCGGGUCGUAAACCUCUUUUGCCGGGGAGCAGAGGUCCGGACGUGUCCGGGCCGGGAGAGUACCCGGAGAAAAAGCAUCGGCUAACUCCGUGCCAGCAGCCCCGGUAAUACGGAGGAUGCGAGCGUUAUCCGGAUUUAUUGGGUUUAAGGGGUGCGUAGGCGGGCAUUUAAGCCGGCGGUCAAAUGUCGGGGCUCAACCCCGGCCUGCCGUCGGAACUGGGUGCCUUGAGUGGACGAGAAGUAUGCGGAAUGCGUGGUGUAGCGGUGAAAUGCAUAGAGAUCACGCAGAACCCCGAUUGCGAAGGCAGCAUACCGGCGCCCUACUGACGCUGAGGCACGAAAGUGCGGGUAUCGAACAGGAUUAGAUACCCCGGUAGUC
rnacentral:rRNA from 1 species